CACAAGAGGUCUGCCUGCCUAGG
rnacentral:piRNA from 1 species